AUUGAACGCUGGCGGCAGGCCUAACACAUGCAAGUCGAACGAGUGGCGGACGGGUGAGUAAUGUCUGGGAAACUGCCAGAGGGAGGGGGAUAACUACUGGAAGCGGUAGCUAAUACCACAUACAAUCGACUGUGCGCAGAUGGGAUUAGCUUGUAGGUGAGGUAACGGCGAACCUAGGCGACGGUCCCUAGCUGGUCUGAGAGGAUGACCAGCCACACUGGAACUGAGACAAGGUCCAGACUCCUACGUGAGGCAGCAGUGGGGAAUAGUGAACAAUGGGCGAAAGCCUGAUGCAGCCAUGCCGCGUGUAUGAAGAAGGUCUUCGGGUUGUAAAGUACUUUAAGCUGGGAGGCGUUACCCACAGAAGAAGCACCGGCUAACUCCGUGCCAGCAGCCGCGGUAAUUC
rnacentral:rRNA from 1 species